rnacentral:lncRNA from 1 species
UAUAAGUUCCCUUUUUUAAAAUUCCCCAAUGGUUUUCCUUUGCAAUAAAAACAAAAUCCAAGCUGCAAAUUUUGGUCUUCAAGUCACUGAUGAUAAGACGCUUUUGCAUUUGUAAUUCCCUUUGUUGAAAGCUCCUCUCUGCCCACUUCAGCUAAACUGUGUGUGUGUGUGUGUGUGUGUUUGUGUGUAUGUACGUGUAGUCGUUAUUUUAAAAUACAAAUAAAUUCUGGGCUUUUUCCUGUUAGUUUAGAUUAGGAGUAACUAUAUGACUAAAAUGUAUUGCUGUCUUUGAUAAAAAUAAGAAAUGAUAUAGUUACAUAAUUUUUAAUUUUAUAAUCUUGCUUGUAUCCUCUUCUACAUCUACAUAGAUUCUACUGACAAAUCCAAGCUCUCAAAACUUAGUGUAUAAUGCUAGAAUUGUUGGACGAGAUGCUGUUGACUUUUCCCUCUCCCAGAAAGGGAAUGUUGUAAUAAUUCCUCCAAAGGAUAGGCAAUUGGAGCAAAAGGAAAAUAAAAGAAGUGAAAUUACUAUCACUGUGAAAUUCAACAGUCGCUUUCUUCUUCCUGCUGAAGCUUCACUACUAUUAAUUUCAAAACCCAAGAAUGUAGUAAGAGGAAUGACAGUGACAUUUGCUCUUGAAGGCAAAGUCCUCAAUUUAAAACCCAUUUAUGAUUUUAUUUUUUUACUUUAGGAAAUUAUAAAAUGCGAAA